rfam:Aspergillus wentii DTO 134E9 unplaced genomic scaffold ASPWEscaffold_10, whole genome shotgun sequence.
GGGGCAAUGGCGCAGCUGGGAGCGCGUUAGACUGAAGCGUCAACUUCAGUAACAGGAUUACUCCGUUUAUCUAAAGGUCGCUGGUUCAAACCCGGCUUGCCCCA